rnacentral:lncRNA from 1 species
UUAUGUCAGGUCUGGCAUCUGGAUUGGCAAGCAGGCUUCGGGGACGUUGGUCUGGGUCAUGUCUGAUUUGAUGUUCUGGCAUUUGGUGUCCGAUGUUUUGGACAGUAGAUGAGCUGAAAAAAAAAACCGAAGCACGACUGGAACUUUGUCCGAAAAGUCUUGGUGAAAGGAAAGGGCAACAUCCUGCCCAGCCUCCACAUCACAGAAGCUGUCGUCCCUUAAAGUUGACACGCAGAUGCCAUUGGCUCAGGAGGACAGCAUCGACUUCGUUAUUGGUCAUCAAAGGACGAUGGAAAGGCCUCUUCGGAGUCUACAUGGGGUCUGCAGUGAGCGAGGACGAGGGAAGAAAAGGAUGAAGGAUGUGCGGCGGCACCUCUCCCAGAAACUGGCGGAUUGCCAGAGAAAGUAGAACAAUGCUCAGUUCGAACUAUAAAAAAUUUGAAUGACA